rnacentral:rRNA from 1 species
AGAGAGAGACAUGCGCGCAUAUCAAUAAGCGGAGGAAAAGAAACUAACAAGGAUUCCCCUAGUAACGGCGAGUGAAGCGGGAAGAGCUCAAAUUUGAAAUCUUAAAGGGUUUCCCUUUACGAAUUGUAGUUUAAAGAAGUGUUUUCUGUUGAGGUUUUGGUAAAAGUUCUUUGGAAUAGGACAUCAUAGAGGGUGAGAAUCCCGUAUUUGACCUUUACUUUCAACUUUGUGAUACACUUUCAAAGAGUCGGAUUGUUUGGGAAUGCAGUCCAAAAUGGGUGGUAAAUUUCAUCUAAAGCUAAAUAUUGGCGAGAGACCGAUAGCGAACAAGUACCGUGAGGGAAAGAUGAAAAGAACUUUGAAAAGAGAGUUAAACAGUACGUGAAAUUGUCAAAAGGGAAGCGUUUGACACCAGUGUUGUUUUUCUGAAAAUCAAUUAAAGAACUGUUUAUGCUAAGUUGUUUAGACUUUAUCAGCUAACUGUUUAGUUUUGAGCUUUUCUUUAAUGCACUUUUCAGUUAACAAGUCAACAUCAAUUUCUUUUGCUGUAAAAAAGCUUGAGGAAGGUGGCUUGAGAUUCGUCUUAAGUGUUUAUAGCCUCUUGCCUAUGCAGUCGGAGAGAUUGAGGUCUGCAGCGUAGAUCCUUCGGGGCUAAAUGCAUUUGUGCUAAGUUAUAACAUUUUAUAGACAACUUGCUGACUAUGAUUUGUCUUGUAGCUUACUCGCUUAUGUUAUUUUACCUACGCUUAGGAUGUUGACGCAUGAGAUAUACGC